UACGUAGGGUGCGAGCGUUAAUCGGAAUUAUUGGGCGUAAAGGGCGCGUAGGCGGCCUUGCGUGUCUUUCGUGAAAUCCCUCGGCUUAACUGAGGACGUGCGGAAGAAACUGCAGGGCUUGAGUCCGGGAGAGGGGGGUGGAAUUCCCAGUGUAGCGGUGAAAUGCGUAGAUAUUGGGAGGAACACCGGUGGCGAAGGCGGCCCCCUGGACCGGUACUGACGCUGAGGCGCGAAAGCGUGGGUAGUAAACGGG
rnacentral:rRNA from 1 species